rnacentral:lncRNA from 1 species
ACAAAUGUAUGUAUACGUAUGUAUGCAUGUAUGUAUAUAUGUAUGUAUGUGUGCGUGUAUGAGUGUAUUGCUGAUAUUGUCUAGAAAUAAGUUUUUUCAUACAUAGAAACUGAUUGUAAUUGUACAUGUUGCCUUAAUAUUAAUAGAAUUAUGUAAAUAUUUUUAAAUUACAUAUUUUGUAAAAUACUUCUUCUCUCAUUAUAUCAUUAUCUCUAAGAAAAUGAAAUAAAACAAACACUUUUUGGGUUUUAAUUGUAUUUAAUAUUAAAGGAAAUUUAGAGAUAUAUUCCGAUUCAUUCUUUUAAAUAUUUUUUGCUUACAAUAGAUGAAUUAUAGCACAGAGUUUGAAAUUCUUUAUUACUCUUAUGUAUUUUCUCAAAACAUAUCUAUGUUUUAUGAUUUUUAUAUCUCUGCCAUCUUAUAUCUUGCUAUUUGAUAUCAACAUAUUCCGUAGAUUUAAUGGUUCUUAGAAAACAAAGUAAAAUCAACUAUUGCCUUUUUCAUUUUAUGUAUUACACAAUACAAUAUUUGCAUGCGAAAGAAAGAUUUGCUCAUUGAAACCGACCUUCCGUUCAUGCCAUAUAUAUAUAUACAUACAUAUAUAUAUAUAUAUAUAUAUAUAUAUAUAUAUAUAUAUAUAUAUAUAUAUAUAUAUAUAUAUAUACAUAUAUAUAUAUAUAUAUAUAUGUAUGUAUAUAUAUAUAUAUGGGUGAAAUUUGUUAUGUGAAAAUGCUAACUUCAAAACAGGAGCUAGAAGCCUCUAUGCCAAGACACAUACGAGUAUAUCGUCUGAACCGAUGGAUCUGUUACGUGACACGAUGGUAUGUACUGACAUUGUUGACGUAACACCAUUGCGCAGAGAUAUAUGAUUGCACGCGAGGGGAGUGUGGAGGCAUUUGGCUAUUAAUUAAUGGGAGGAGAAAUUACGGCGCACCAAAUAUUAUAACAAUUACCAAGCGAGCGGAUAAUCCGAUGAAAAUGAAGAUCGCCAACUUUCCAUGUUAAAGUUAGGCUUGCCACACUACAGGAUCUAUUAGGGUAGGUAUAUUACAUUGUAUGUUUCUAUAUUGUCAUCAACUUAAUUUUCUUUUCUCGAUAUGCUCAUGCAAUAAAAACGUUAUUGUUCUUUUACGUUGUUAACAAACAGAAUACUUGUAUAUAUAAAACUGAAAAUGUAACAAAAUAAAAUUUUGAAAAAGUAAAAAAAAAAUGAAAUCGAAAACAAAUAUUGAAUAUAUUUACAGACUAGGAUUUCUAAAACCAAAAAUCUACUAUUUAAGUUCAUGUUUUGGAUGUAAAUCACAAUAUGCUAACAAUCGCAAGACAAAAAAGGCUAUACCAAAGAAAAAAACUGUCCAUUCUUUUCAUGAUAAGAUGGCCGAAAAAUAUUUUACAUACAAUAAACUGAAUGGAGAAGAGUAAAAGAAAUUCGUAUCUCUCCUGGGAUUGCUAUAGACUUCUUUGACUGACGUUCGUUUGAAAAGAGCUGCAGAAUCUUAGAAUCAGCACCAUUAUGCUUUUAUUUCUUGUUUCUUUGUUAAAAGCAAUCAAAUAAACCUGGAAAAUGGAAUAUUUCCCUAUAGAGAA